UGAUCUUCCUCAUCUGUAAUAUUUUCUUGUGUACCACUAUUUAAUUAGUGAAACUCUUUUCGGUGGAUGUAGGCAGCUGCCAAACCACGUUAAAUUUUUGGCGUCACUGAGUGCAUGAGUGUACUCUUUUAUUACCGCUUUUAUCCCUUCCGCUGUGUUGAUUUCCCCAACAACGGAGUCCUCAUGGCCUUUCUU